GACAGAGGGUGCAAACGUUGCUCGGAAUCACUGGGCGUAAAGGGCGUGUAGGCGGGAAGGAAAGUCAGAUGUGAAAUCCCUGGGCUCAACCCAGGAACUGCAUUUGAAACUCCCUUCUUGAGUGUCGGAGAGGAAAGCGGAAUUCCUGGUGUAGAGGUGAAAAUUCGUAGAUAUCAAAGUGGAACACCAGUGGCGAAGGCGAGUCCCUGGAAAACUCCUGACACUGAGGCACGAAAAGCUAGGGGAGCAAAUGGG
rnacentral:rRNA from 1 species